AAGACUAUACUUUCAGGGAUCAUUUCUAUAGUUUCUAACUGGAGAAAUGUGUUUCUAAAGUGUUUGGUCUCGCUAUCCACGAUGAUGAGCGAAGAUACUUCCACCUGAGCGCGAAGCGGGUUGUGAGUAUGGACUCCGGUCUAACGCUCGCAGCUUUUGAUGACCGUUCUCUGUCACCUUGGAGACAGUGAGGGUGGAAGUAUGAUCAGAGUGGU